CAGUAGCCACGGUAAUACAGAGGGUGCAAGCGUUAAUCGGAAUUACUGGGCGUAAAGCGCGCGUAGGUGGUUCGCCAAGUUGGAUGUGAAAUCCCCGGGCUCAACCUGGGAACUGCAUCCAAAACUGGCGAGCUAGAGUAUGGUAGAGGGUGGUGGAAUUUCCUGUGUAGCAGUGAAAUGCGUAGAGAUCGGAAGGAACAUCUGUGGCGAAGGCGACUAUCUGGGCCAACACUGACACUGAGGCACGAAAGCGUGGGGAGCAAACAGGAUUAGAUACCCCGUAGUCCCUGUCUCUUAUACA
rnacentral:rRNA from 1 species